rnacentral:rRNA from 1 species
UUGCUCUUCAACGAGGAAUACCUAGUAAGCGUGAGUCAUCAGCUCGCGUUGAUUACGUCCCUGCCCUUUGUACACACCGCCCGUCGCUACUACCGAUUGAAUGGCUUAGUGAGGCCUCUGGACUGGUUGCUUGGAGCAGGCAACUGCACCGAGCAUGCCGGGAAGUUGUACGAACUUGGUCAUUUAGAGGAAGUAAAAGUCGUAACAAGGUUUCCGUAGGUGAACCUGCGGAAGGAUCAUUAGUGAAUUUUUAAAAAAAAAAAUACAGAAUUUGGGUCCUCCCCAAUUCUUAUUUCUUUUUUUAUUCUCUUUUCUUUUCCACUGUGAAAUUUUUAAAACUAUUCGGGCGGUUCUUUAUUGAGCUGGUCGAGGUUUAGAGAUGGGACUCUUGGGAGAUUAGAAAAUUGUUGGGGAGACACCUCCACUUAGGUGGAGCUUGUGUGUAGAACUUUAAUUUUCUCUUUUUUCCUCAAGUUUCUCUGAUCUAGCCGAAUUACCCAAUUUUUUAGAGACAAUGUUAAAUUUGAAUGUGUUAUUUUUUAAUAAACAAAUUAAAACUUUCAGUGACGGAUCUCUUGGCUCUCGCAUCGAUGAAGAACGCAGUAAAUCGCGAUACGUAAUGUGAAUUGCAGAAAUAUGUGAAUCAUCGAAUCUUUGAACGCAUCUUGCGCUCUGGGGUACUCCUCAGGGCAUGCCUGUUUGAGUGUCUUUUAAUUCUCAUCUCAUAAUUUUUAUUAAUUUAAAAGUUAUAGAUGGAUCGUGGCUGUUUUUUGACGAAUCUUUUUUGGUUCGUCUCAGCUGAAAUGUAGAAAGCGACGUCUAAUUCAGAGUAAUAAAGAUGUUAACGUCGGCGUGAUAAGUAAAUUACGCAGUCCGUUUUCUGUCCUAUCUCUCUGGUGUUCGCUACGAAUUACCUAUAGUUAUUAUUUCAACAUUUGACCUCAAAUCAGGUAGGACUACCCGCUGAACUUAAGCAUAUCAAUAAGCGGAGGA